rnacentral:rRNA from 1 species
GGUAGCCGGCCUGAGAGGGUGUCCGGCCACACUGGGACUGAGAUACGGCCCAGACUCCUACGGGAGGCAGCAGUGGGGAAUAUUGCACAAUGGGCGCAAGCCUGAUGCAGCGACGCCGCGUGGGGGAUGACGGCCUUCGGGUUGUAAACCUCUUUCAAUAGGGACGAAGCGCAAGUGACGGUACCUAUAGAAGAAGCACCGGCCAACUACGUGCCAGCAGCCGCGGUAAUACGUAGGGUGCGAGCGUUGUCCGGAAUUACUGGGCGUAAAGAGCUCGUAGGUGGUUUGUCGCGUUGUCCGUGAAAUUUCACAACUCAAUUGUGAGCGUGCGGGCGAUACGGGCAGACUGGAGUACUGCAGGGGAG